rnacentral:rRNA from 1 species
AACGAACGCUGGCGGCAGGCCUAACACAUGCAAGUCGAGCGAGGACUUCGGUCCUAGCGGCGGACGGGUGAGUAACGCGUGGGAACGUGCCCUUUGCUACGGAAUAGCCCCGGGAAACUGGGAGUAAUACCGUAUGUGCCCGAGAGGGGCAAGAUUUAUCGGCAAAGGAUCGGCCCGCGUUGGAUUAGGGAGUUGGUGGGGUAAUGGCCUACCAAGGCGACGAUCCAUAGCUGGUUUGAGAGGAUGAUCAGCCACACUGGGACUGAGGACACGGCCCAGACUCCUACGGGAGGCAGCAGUGGGGAAUCUUAGACAAUGGGGGAAACCCUGAUCUAGCCAUGCCGCGUGAUCGAUGAAGGCCUUAGGGUUGUAAAGAUCUUUCAGUGGGGAAGAUAAUGACUGUACCCACAGAAGAAGCCCCGGCUAACUCCGUGCCAGCCGCCGCCGUAAUAC